GUGUCCUGAAUGGAAGGAUCCCUUUGGGAGCCUCUCAGGAGGGGGACCUGGGCCAAGGGCCACCAGCAUUGUGCUGGCAACUGUGGGGGUGGGGGUGGGGUGC
ensembl:misc_RNA